rnacentral:rRNA from 1 species
UACGGAGGGUGCAAGCGUUAUCCGGAUUCACUGGGUUUAAAGGGUGCGUAGGUGGCUUGGUAAGUCAGUGGUGAAAUCUCCGGGCUUAACCCGGAAACUGCCAUUGAUACUAUCAGUCUUGAAUACCGUGGAGGUCAGUAGAAUAUGUCAUGUAGCGGUGAAAUGCUUAGAUAUGACAUAGAAUACCAAUUGCGAAGGCAGCUGGCUACACGAAUAUUGACACUCAGGCACGAAAGCGUGGGGAUCAAACAGG